GUCCUUUUGGGGUCUGAGAGGGCUUAUAGAGUCUGUAUGGGGUCCUAUAGGGUCCUUAUGGGGUCUAAAAGGGUUUAUAGGGUCUCUAUGGGGUCCUAUGGGAGCUUUAUGGGGUCCUUAUGGGGUCUGAGAGGGCUUAUAGGGUCUUUAUGGGAGUUUAUGGGGUCCUUAUGGGGUCUGAGAGGGUUUAUAGGGUCUCUAUGGGGUCCAAUGGGGUCUUAUGGGGUCCUUAUGGGGUCUGAGAGGGCUUAUAGGGUCUCUAUGGGGUCCAAUGGGGUCUUAUGGGGUCCUUAUGGGGUCUGAGAGGGCUUAUAGGGUCUGUAUGGGGUCUCUGUGGGGUCCUAUAGGGUCCUUAAGGAGUCUAAAAGGGUUUAUAGGAUCU
ensembl:lncRNA